UACAGAGGUCUCAAGCGUUGUUCGGAUUUAUUGGGCGUAAAGGGCGCGUGGGCGGCGGGGUAAGUCGGGUGUGAAAUCUCAGGGCUCAACCCUGAAACUGCACUUGAUACUGCUCUGCUUGAGGACUGGAGAGGAGACUGGAAUUCACGGUGUAGCAGUGAAAUGCGUAGAUAUCGUGAGGAAGACCAGUGGCGAAGGCGGGUCUCUGGACAGUUCCUGACGCUGAGGCGCGAAGGCCAGGGGAGCAAACGGG
rnacentral:rRNA from 1 species